rnacentral:snRNA from 1 species
AAAAAAAAAAAAUCAUAU